rnacentral:tRNA from 1 species
GAGGAUAUAGCUCAGUGGUAGAGCACUGUGCUUAGCAUGCACAAGGUCCUGGGUUCAAUCCCCAGUACCUCCA